CAGAUAUGAUCAACCUAUAUCCUAAAUAUGCAAGCUUAAACUUCCUGUUAUUCUCCCCGCUAUUCCUUCUUGGGACGCCAAAGGACUCGCAUCUGGAUUUUUUUAUUGCAACUUCUCUUGCUGUACGUCGCUUAUUAUGAAAAUUUUCUUACUCUUCGGAAUUCUCAUCUUGAAUGGACAAUUCAUUACCUGCUUGAAAAACAAUUCAAAAGAUUUGCAAAAGGUCAUCUGCGGGCCACUUAUUAUAUUCGGUGGAAAACAAUGCAUAAAUGAAACUGAUCUAAACAAACAAACAAAUACAGUGAAACCAGAAGUCAUAAACGACAGUGGGAGAAAUUCAAGCGUAAAAUCUGGGGAUACAGAUGAGCAGAACAGUACCCAUUACCUUAUUAUAGCUACUGCUUGUAUUUUUGUCUUUAUUCUUUUGAUAUAUAGUCUUUUCGUAUAUUUUCUUAAAAUGGAUGUGUAGAAAAAAAGACGUAAUACUUGAGGAUGUAUCAAAAGUUCCAUCGAAUAAAUUAUCAAUGUCGGAAAAUAACACAUAUUUAUAAAAAAAAAAAAACCAAAAAAAAAAAAACGCUAGGAAUCGUUGUGUUAUGUAAAAUGCUGGUUGAAAAGUAACAUAUUUGUCAGUUCCUCCUAUUUUUCAUUCCAAUUAAGGAGUAAUGUUCUAGAUUAAAAACUACUAUAGACAUACCUUUUUCCGACGUAUGAUAAUUUUAAUUUGUCACAGCGUACGUAGAUGCACAUUUUAGAUCUAUAAUGGCAUUCCAAGAAAUCUGCCUAAUUACCCGCGAAUUGAACUGAAAUUUUGAUUCUGAAGAAUUUUCAACUUAGAGGGAAGAAAUUAUUUUAGAUUAAAAUAAAACAUUUUCAGAAUUUUGCUUUAGAGAUGUUGAAAUACAUCUUGCUAGCUUUAAACUGGAAGAAAUAUAUUCAUACAAUCUCAGAUAUGCUUUAUGGAUAUAAUUUUUGUCUUAUCAAUGAUAGCCCCUUUUAAAUUUACUCACUGGAAUCAGAGAGGACUUGAUUGUUCAUCCAAAGGUAAAAGUAUAUUCUUCAUGUUUCAAUAAUCUGAAAGACUCAUAAUUUUUUUUUAAAAGCUUAGCAUAAACUUUUUUAUCAUAUAUAAUUUAACAUUAUACAAUGAAUGUAACUCAAAGGAUAUAAUUUUCAUGUCUA